GGGCCUGGCGGCAGCUAACACAUGCAAGUCGAACGGUAGCACAGAGAGCUUGCUCUCGGGUGACGAGUGGCGGACGGGUGAGUAAUGUCUGGGAAACUGCCUGAUGGAGGGGGAUAACUACUGGAAACGGUAGCUAAUACCGCAUAACGUCGCAAGACCAAAGAGGGGGACCUUCGGGCCUCUUGCCAUCAGAUGUGCCCAGAUGGGAUUAGCUAGUAGGUGGGGUAACGGCUCACCUAGGCGACGAUCCCUAGCUGGUCUGAGAGGAUGACCAGCCACACUGGAACUGAGACACGGUCCAGACUCCUACGGGAGGCAGCAGUGGGGAAUAUUGCACAAUGGGCGCAAGCCUGAUGCAGCCAUGCCGCGUGUAUGAAGAAGGCCUUCGGGUUGUAAAGUACUUUCAGCGGGGAGGAAGGUGUUGUGGUUAAUAACCGCAGCAAUUGACGUUACCCGCAGAAGAAGCACCGGCUAACUCCGUGCCAGCAGCCGCGGUAAUACGGAGGGUGCAAGCGUUAAUCGGAAUUACUGGGCGUAAAGCGCACGCAGGCGGUCUGUCAAGUCGGAUGUGAAAUCCCCGGGCUCAACCUGGGAACUGCAUUCGAAACUGGCAGGCUGGAGUCUUGUAGAGGGGGGUAGAAUUCCAGGUGUAGCGGUGAAAUGCGUAGAGAUCUGGAGGAAUACCGGUGGCGAAGGCGGC
rnacentral:rRNA from 1 species